CACUGGGACAAUAGUAGGUGGUGCACACUUCCUUCGCCCGGCCACAGAAGACAAAAAAGAGUUGCUGGUGUAACAAUAGGAAGAAUAUAUUCCACUCCUCUCUUGUACACGCGGCUUAUGAGAUGAACGCUCGUCAAGAAGAACGUCCCCUUCAGCAGCAGGAGGAUCCACAGCCCCCCCACAUUAAAGAGGAAGAGGAGGAAGUGUGGAUGAGUCAGGAGGGAGAGUGUCCUGUAGGGCAGGAGGAGGCUGAUGUCAGCAAGUUUCCACUGACUGUUGUCUCUGUGAAGACUGAAGAGCAUGAAGACAAACCACCUGAGUCCUCACAGCUUCAUCACAGUCCAAGGAGGUGGUGAAACAUCUGGUUGACUGGUGCAGAACCAACAACCUGGUCCUGAACGUCGACAAGACCAAGGAGAUCAUCGUUGACUUCAGGAAGCACCAGUCCAGCCACACUUCACUCUUCAUCAACGGCACAGCGGUGGAGAUGGUAAGCAGCACCAAGUUCCUGGGGGUGCAGAUUACUGACAAUAUAACCUUGUCCCUACACACCGGAGAUCUUGUAAAAAGAGCUCAGCAGCGCAUGCACUUUUUGCGUCGGAUGUAAAGAGCACAGCUCCCUCCCCCCAUUCUCAGCACAUUCUACAGAGGAACUAUAGAGAGCCUGCUGACCAACAGCAUCUCUGUCUGGACUGGAGCCUGCAAUGGCUCAGACUGGAAGUCUCUCCAGAGAGUGGUGAGGACGACGGAAAAGAUUAUCAGGUACCUGAGGCAGAGCAACAGUCCCAGAGCAUGAUUGACCCCCCACCAUGCUUAACAGUAGGAAUGGUGUUCUUCUCUUUGUAAGCUUAAUUUUUUUCUCCUCCAGACAUAACGUUGAUUCAUAGGCCCAAAGAGUUCCAGUUUUGUCUCAUCACUCCAUAGAACAGUUUCCUAAAACAUUUGGGGUUUGUCCAGAUGAUUUUUUGGCAUACUGGAGUCUAUUUUUCUUGUGCCUGGUAGUCAGAAGUGGGGUGCGCCUGGGAGUUUUGGCAUGGAGGCCUUCAUCUCGUAGUGCGCGCCUUAUUGUCUGGGACGAAACCUGCGUUCCCCCCUCUGCAAUGUCCUGUUGUAGUUCCUCAGUUGUUACCCGGGGGUUUUUCACACAGCAUCCUUUUUCUACCACGCCCAGGUAGUGUUUCCACUGUGCCUUUAGCUUUAAACUUGCCAAUUAUGCUCCCAACUGUGUCUCUUGGAAUGUGUAAUGUCUUUGCUAUUUUCUUAUAUCCAUAUCCUUUCUUAUGAAGAGAAAUUACCUCCUCUCUUGACUUCUUUGACCACUCCCUGGACUUCACCAUGUUGCAAAUACACCAUUGACCAUCUACAAGAAGCUGAGCGUCAGUCUUUUUCAAUCACUUUAAUUGUUGCUCGUUAUGGUUCUAAUCACAUCUACAGGUGUGUUCAACACCUGAUUGAAAAGACCUUAUUCAAAUUCUGUUCUUAAGAGUUAUGAUCUGCAAGGGGUUGAAUAAUUUUGUCAAUGAGAUAUUAAGAAAAAUGUCCUUUUUUGGUAUUUUGUAAAAUACAGUGUUACGAUUUGAGUUGCAUUUGUCUAUUUGAAACAUCUUUAUUUGAUAUGACUAUAAACAAAAUACGGAAUAAAUGUCCAACUUGCUAAAACACCAAAA